UUUAUGGAGAGUUUGAUCCUGGCUCAGGAUGAACGCUGGCGGCGUGCCUAAUACAUGCAAGUCGAGCGAACGGACGAGAAGCUUGCUUCUCUGAUGUUAGCGGCGGACGGGUGAGUAACACGUGGAUAACCUACCUAUAAGACUGGGAUAACUUCGGGAAACCGGAGCUAAUACCGGAUAAUAUUUUGAACCGCAUGGUUCAAAAGUGAAAGACGGUCUUGCUGUCACUUAUAGAUGGAUCCGCGCUGCAUUAGCUAGUUGGUAAGGUAACGGCUUACCAAGGCAACGAUGCAUAGCCGACCUGAGAGGGUGAUCGGCCACACUGGAACUGAGACACGGUCCAGACUCCUACGGGAGGCAGCAGUAGGGAAUCUUCCGCAAUGGGCGAAAGCCUGACGGAGCAACGCCGCGUGAGUGAUGAAGGUCUUCGGAUCGUAAAACUCUGUUAUUAGGGAAGAACAUAUGUGUAAGUAACUGUGCACAUCUUGACGGUACCUAAUCAGAAAGCCACGGCUAACUACGUGCCAGCAGCCGCGGUAAUACGUAGGUGGCAAGCGUUAUCCGGAAUUAUUGGGCGUAAAGCGCGCGUAGGCGGUUUUUUAAGUCUGAUGUGAAAGCCCACGGCUCAACCGUGGAGGGUCAUUGGAAACUGGAAAACUUGAGUGCAGAAGAGGAAAGUGGAAUUCCAUGUGUAGCGGUGAAAUGCGCAGAGAUAUGGAGGAACACCAGUGGCGAAGGCGACUUUCUGGUCUGUAACUGACGCUGAUGUGCGAAAGCGUGGGGAUCAAACAGGAUUAGAUACCCUGGUAGUCCACGCCGUAAACGAUGAGUGCUAAGUGUUAGGGGGUUUCCGCCCCUUAGUGCUGCAGCUAACGCAUUAAGCACUCCGCCUGGGGAGUACGACCGCAAGGUUGAAACUCAAAGGAAUUGACGGGGACCCGCACAAGCGGUGGAGCAUGUGGUUUAAU
rnacentral:rRNA from 1 species